rnacentral:rRNA from 1 species
UACGAAGGGUGCAAGCGUUACUCGGAAUUACUGGGCGUAAAGCGUGCGUAGGUGGUGAGUUAAGUCUGUCGUGAAAGCCCCGGGCUCAACCUGGGAAUGGCGAUGGAUACUGGCUCGCUAGAGUGCGGUAGAGGAGAGUGGAAUUCCCGGUGUAGCAGUGAAAUGCGUAGAGAUCGGGAGGAACAUCAGUUGCGAAGGCGGCUCUCUGGUCCAAAACUGACGCUGAGGGGCGAAAGCUAGGGGAGCAAACGGG